rnacentral:rRNA from 1 species
AACGCGAAGAAUCCUUACCCACGGCUUGACUCCUGCCAAGUUUUCCGAAAGGAGAAUGUGCCUUCGGGCCGCAGUGAUCAGGUGAUGCAUGGCCGUCUUUCAGCUCGUGUCGUGAGAUGUUAGGUUAAGUCCUUCAACGACGCGCAACCCUUAUGCUUAGUUGUAUUUCUCUAAGCAGACUGCCCUGGUAACAGGGAGGAAGGGGGGGAUGAUGUCAGGUCAGUAUUUCCCUUACGUCUGGGGCUACAAACACGACUACAAUGGCCGGUACAAAGGGCUGCCAACCCGCGAGGGGGAGCAAAUCCCAUCAAAGCCGGUCUCAGUUCGGAUAGCAGGCUGAAACUCGCCUGCUUGAAGCUGGAAUCGCUAGUAAUGGUAGGUCAGCACACUACCGUGAAUACGUUCCCGGGUCUUGUACACACCG